rnacentral:rRNA from 1 species
ACGUAGGGGGCGAGCGUUAUUCGGAAUUACUGGGUGUAAAGGGUAUGUAGGAGGCCCUUCAAGUCGCGUGUCAAAGUCCAGUGCUCAACGCUGGGUGUGCGCGCGAUACUGACGGGCUUGAGGGCUGGAGAGGUGAGCUGAAUUCCCGGUGUAAUGAUAAAAAACGUAUAGAUCGGAAGAACCUCCGGCGUCGCAAGCGCAUCACCAGAAAAUUUCUGACGCCACAAUACAAAAGCGUGUGGAGCAUAAAC